rnacentral:rRNA from 1 species
GACGAACGCUGGCGGCGUGCUUAACACAUGCAAGUCGAACGGAAAGGCCCUUCGGGGUACUCGAGUGGCGAACGGGUGAGUAACACGUGGGUGAUCUGCCCUGCACUUUGGGAUAAGCCUGGGAAACUGGGUCUAAUACCGAAUAGGACCACGCUCUUCAUGGGGUGUGGUGGAAAGCUUUUGCGGUGUGGGAUGGGCCCGCGGCCUAUCAGCUUGUUGGUGGGGUAAUGGCCUACCAAGGCGACGACGGGUAGCCGGCCUGAGAGGGUGACCGGCCACACUGGGACUGAGAUACGGCCCAGACUCCUACGGGAGGCAGCAGUGGGGAAUAUUGCACAAUGGGCGCAAGCCUGAUGCAGCGACGCCGCGUGAGGGAUGACGGCCUUCGGGUUGUAAACCUCUUUCAGUACCGACGAAGCGCAAGUGACGGUAGGUACAGAAGAAGGACCGGCCAACUACGUGCCAGCAGCCGCCGUAAGAC